rnacentral:rRNA from 1 species
UAGGGAAUCUUCCGCAAUGGGCGAAAGCCUGACGGAGCAACGCCGCGUGAGUGAUGAAGGUCUUCGGAUCGUAAAACUCUGUUAUUAGGGAAGAACAAAUGUGUAAGUAACUAUGCACGUCUUGACGGUACCUAAUCAGAAAGCCACGGCUAACUACGUGCCAGCAGCCGCGGUAAUACGUAGGUGGCAAGCGUUAUCCGGAAGUAUUGGGCGUAAAGCGCGCGUAGGCGGUUUUUUAAGUCUGAUGUGAAAGCCCACGGCUCAACCGUGGAGGGUCGUUGGAAACUGGAAAACUUGAGUGCAGAAGAGGAAAGUGGAAUUCCAUGUGUAGCGGUGAAAUGCGCAGAGAUAUGGAGGAACACCAGUGGCGAAGGCGACUUUCUGGUCUGUAACUGACGCUGAUGUGCGAAAGCGUGGGGAUCAAACAGG